CCCACAAGCUGGGGGGAGGCUUGUCCAGCUACUGAAUGCUUUGCGUGAUCACCCUCUUGAGAAGAAUGAUAUCAAGUAUUUCAUUCUUCUAAAGAGGGUGAUCAGGAAAAUCAUUCAGUAGCUGGACAAGCCUCCCCCAAUCUUGUGGG
rnacentral:pre_miRNA from 16 species